UACAGAGGUCUCGAGCGUUAGGCGGAAUCACUGGGCUUAAAGCGUGUGUAGGUGGAUGCCUAAGUACCUCGUGAAAUCCCACAGCUUAACUGUGGAACUGCUUGGUAUACUGGGUGUCUUGAGUCACUCAGGGGCGAGCGGAACAAAUGGUGGAGCGGUGAAAUGCGUAGAUAUCAUUUGGAACGCCAAUGGUGAAAACAGCUCGCUGGGGGUGCACUGACACUGAGACACGAAAGCCAGGGGAGCGAACGGG
rnacentral:rRNA from 1 species